GGGGCUGUAGCUCAGAGGCAGAGAGUUUGCCUAGCAUGCAUGAGGCACUGGGUUCAAUCCUCAGCACCACUU
rnacentral:tRNA from 1 species